CUGUACCGAUGUUGAGUAACAUUCCGGAACGAUGCCGGGUCGUACCGUUACAUAUACAUUUACAUCAAUCCAGACAUCACACUGAUUGUACUUGCAUGUUUGUCGCACUUACACGCAUGCAGGUAGUAAUUCUUAAUCCGCUUGACUGCUGACUUGUCUUGUGAGACUCUUGUGACCCCUGGAAAUUCACUAGCUAGCGCCACCAACCUCGCCGGCCGGCCGGCAGUGUGACUUGGGCUUUGACUUGGAUUAACACUCAAUGCUAGUAGCUUAAAGAGAUCAGUGUCAGUGAGAAGAGAUCUCUAUAAAGACUUUGAGAGCAACAUACCUCUGCGUGUAGCCAUGGCACCAGCAAUAGCAACAGGCCUCCCUGAUCUGUCGUUGCCGGUGCUUCUCCUCCUAUUCCUGUUAUGCUUGGUGUCACCCGAGCUCGUCGUUCCCGUCCAUGGCCAAACGCUCGACGAUCUAGGUUUCGUCAGCAUCGACUGCGGGAUCAAGGAGGGCACGAGCUACCCCGACAGCGAUCCCAACCGGACCAUGAUGAGGUACGUGUCCGACACCGACUUCGUCGACGCCGGAGCAGGGUCCAACGCCGAUGUCAGCCCGCCGUACGUCGACCCAGACCUGGCGGUGCGGUACCGCAACGUCCGCAGCUUCCCUGGUGGUACCGGCAUGAGGAGCUGCUACACGCUCCGGGGGCUAACACAAGGAGCCAAGUACCUGGUCAGGUGCAGCUUCUACUACGGCAACUACGACAAGCUCAACAGCCCCCCGGCCUUCGACCUCUACCUCGGCGUCAACCGCUGGGCCACCGUCAAUGUCACCGCCGCCGACAGCACCUACAUCCUUGAGGCCGUCACCGUGUCGCCCGCCGAGUUCCUGCAGGUGUGCUUGGUGAACAUAGGGUUGGGUGCACCGUUCAUCUCCGGGCAUGAGCUGAGGCCGGUGGAGGCGGUCAUGUACCCGGAGGCCACCGUGAACCAGACGCUGCUCCUUCUCAGCCUUCGCCCGCCGGCGGCGAGAUUCCCUUAUAACCGGUACUACUUCUGGCGGUCGCCUAAAGUAUACAGGUUGCCUUCGGGCCGUCGCUCACCGCAGGCCGCGCCAAAUUCCAGCGGCUCCCUCGUCCAAAUUUCCCUUCUAAUUUUCCCCAAUCCUUCUGUAUUGUUUGCUGCCAAAUCAGACGCCGCCUCCCUGCCCUUGCCCUCAAGGUGACGCCUCAAGCAGGCUGCAGCGGCGCAGCUUUCUGUCCUGUCUCUUUCACUCUCUUGGCGGCGUGCCAUGUCGUGUUGUCGCGCCGCUGCUCUACAACCCAUCGAAGUGAAGAAACAUCAAGAGGAGAAGGGGCUUGUGGAGGCGGAUCUAGUGGGCUGAACUCUACCAGAAGUAUGGUGAGGUCUUCGUUGCGUACGGCAGCUUGCUCACAUCCUCUUUGCCAAGUGUAGCACUGGGACAGCCGGAGGGGAGGAGGUGGCUGAGGGCUUGUGGUGCCCGCAGGCUGCAUGUCAAGGAGUUUUAGCUUGUUUUUAAUGAAGAGCCUGCACUUUAGGAAGAAGAUUGUGAGCUUUUUUAUGGUCUUAGUUCCCUGGAUGAGAUCUAUUUUGUUUUGCCUUCCUGUUGAGCCCUUACAUGUGACAUGUUUGUUCCGCAUAUUCCUAUAUGGAGCCACUUGUGUUUUCCAUUGCCAAUUCAGGUAACAGAUGCCCGUGUUUAACUUCUAGGUAAACAAUCUUCCAUCUAGUGAAAGUGAUA